GAUGAACGCUAGCUACAGGCUUAACACAUGCAAGUCGAGGGCAGCGCAGUGUAGCAAUACAUGGGCGGCGACCGGCGCACGGGUGCGUAACGCGUAUCCAACCUUCCCGUUACUCAGGGAUAGCCUUCCGAAAGGGAGAUUAAUACAGGAUGGUGUUUGAAUUCCGCAUGUUAUUCAAACUAAAGAUUUAUCGGUAACGGAUGGGGAUGCGUGACAUUAGAUAGUAGGCGGGGUAACGGCCCACCUAGUCUACGAUGUCUAGGGGUUCUGAGAGGAAGGUCCCCCACACUGGAACUGAGACACGGUCCAGACUCCUACGGGAGGCAGCAGUGAGGAAUAUUGGUCAAUGGUCGGAAGACUGAACCAGCCAAGUAGCGUGAAGGAUGAAGGUUCUAUGGAUUGUAAACUUCUUUUAUACGGGAAUAAAACCUCCCACGUGUGGGAGCUUGUAUGUACCGUAUGAAUAAGCAUCGGCUAACUCCGUG
rnacentral:rRNA from 1 species